AGAGAAUUACUUGAACCCAGAAGGCAGGGGCUGCAGUGAGCUGAGACUGUGCCACUGCACUGCUGCCUGGGUGACAGAG
rnacentral:snRNA from 1 species